rnacentral:lncRNA from 1 species
AAUUAAAAAAGGGACAUCCAACUUUUUUGUUUUUCAAAUAAACCCACCCCAUUCAAACUUAUUUGCAAAUAAGGAAAAUCCCUUUAUAUAUACCAAAAUUACCCCCAAUUCAUUGAAACCCAAUUCAACUCCAAUUUCAUGAUUUACACCCCAAUUUAGCCCAAUUUCAUCAAUUAACCAAUUUUAAUCCUAAUUUCAAUUUUGACCCCAAUUUUAACCCUAAUACUUAUCAAUUCCACCCAUUAUGCUCCAACUUCUUAAAUAUUACACAUUGACCCCGGAUUUAAACAAAUAUAUCACAUUAACCCCCAAAACUUUUUUUUUUUC